GACGAACGCUGGCGGCGCGCUUAACACAUGCAAGUCGAAUGGAAAGGCCUGCUUUCCCUUGUGGAUUGCGGGUACUCGAGUGGCGAACGGGUGAGUAACACGUGAGUGAUCUGCCCCCAACUUGGGUAUAAGCCUGGGAAACUGGGUCUAAUUCCCGAUAGGACUGCAGGGUGGUGCCUGUGGUGGAAAACGAUUUUCUAGUGGUUGGGGAUGAGCUCGCGGCCUAUCAGCUUGUUGGUGGGGUAAUGGCCUACCAAGGCGGCGACGGGUAGCCGGCCUGAGAGGGUGGACGGCCACAUUGGGACUGAGAUACGGCCCAGACUGCUACGGGAGGCAGCAGUGGGGAAUAUUGCACAAUGGGCGGAAGCCUGAUGCAGCGACGCCGCGUGGGGGAUGACGGGCUUCGGGUUGUAAACUCCUUUCGACCGAGAGGAAGACACCUGGUUGGAAGGGUGGUGACGGUAGUGGUAGAAGAAGCACCGGCUAACUACGUG
rnacentral:rRNA from 1 species